AGUGUUUGCUCACAAGUAGGGAACAGGUGUAUUAUUCAUCUUGCUGGAAGCAAGGAGUUUCCUCCAGAGACUUUCCAGCUCCGGGCUCCCCUCGGGAUCCCAGCUUUCCUGGGCUAAAGGAGGGCUCUGCACAUUUUGUCUCACCUGCCCAGGUGAUGUUCUCUUUGCCUGAGGUCCCUCAGUCCAAUCCCUGCCUCAUUUGGGUGCUAGCAGGGAUUUAGUGCAGUGCUGCUGUUUGAAGCUUCAUAGCUUGGACUUCACUCUUAAUCCUUGCCUCGUAUUUCAUGUGUUUUCCACCUGCAUGCUGAGCUGGGAGAAAUGAACUUCCUGGUGCUUUUUUCCAGCAGGGCUCUUGCCUGAACAGUUCUUGGUUUGUCUUGCACCAAUUACCAGCUUCCAGUGGAAUUCUGUUGGCUGCUUGCAAGGAAAGGAAGGAAAACAUUCUCCACUCAGUUCCUCACACCUUCUGAAAAGGAUGAUGAAUGGGCUGGUUCUGCCUAAGGGAGUGUGUUCAAGCGCAAGAUGGAAGAGGCUGACAGUGUGCUACGAGGAGGUCAAAGCUGGGAAUCCACAGAUGGAGGGUGCAAAACAUAGCCAAAACCCCAGCAAGUUUCUGGCUCACAAUGGAUUGUGAAUAGAAGGAAUAAACAAUAAAGA